UGAGGGCUCAAACUUGUCUGCGUUACCUUAAUCUCUAAAAUCAAACCCUUUCUAAAAUCAAAGAUGCAGAGAGAAUAUGAAAUGAGUAGAUAGAUCAGAGUUACUGGUUGAUUUUGGAUCGAAGAUAUGGAAGGCGUUGGAAGAAAAUUUUGUAAUAAAUCUAAGUGGUUUGGGUAUUUGUUGCUAAAGAAGAUUCAAAAGAGCCAAAAGAGAAGGAAGAAGAUACAAAAUAGUUUAUGUAUUGAUCUGUUCGGUGCGAGCAGACUCGAAAAUUUAUGCAGUGAUGAAGAGUCAUUUCCGUUUGGCAGACUCGGAAAAUUAUAGGAACAGAUUUUGUAUAAUUGAUUUUCUUUCUGUCAGAUAUUUUAGUACUUUGCGGUGGAGACUGUGGAUCAUUUCACUGAAGAAGUUUCUAAGAGGAGGUGAAAAUGCUGCUGUUAGAGCCCCAUCAAUGAAGUUUUAGUAGCCAUUUUACACAUGGAUUUGUUUGUACUAGAUGAACGUUAUGAAAAAGAUACCUUGUGUAUUGCCUGUGGAAUAUUUAGGAACAAAAUAGCUAAAAGGACGUCACUCUACACCCCAUGAUACAAAAUUCUCACAGAUAGACCCAACAAGUUAACUGACAGAGAGUGAAAUAAUCUUCUGAAAUUUUGGGCUACUGAAGAGCAUCAGACUUAUGAAACAAAUUAGAAUGCUUUGAGCUGUCAAAAAGUGAAAAAGAGUAUGGUGAAUAUGAGAUAUCUUAUGUACCCAGUUGCUGUUGAUAGCCUUACAAAAUCUUGCCAAGAUGAUGAACGUGGGAGGAAAAUACGUGGAUCCUUAUAUCCCUUGGAAAUGGUACUUUCCGAUCACAAUAUCAAGAGUAGAAGCCAGUGAAGCCCAACGCACAGUGGGUAGGAAAAACUUCCCUUGAUGCAAGAAAUGCUGUUCAAGUGUUGUGGAGUGUAUGUGUUGGAAAUCGUCAAGUUUGUACAAGUUUUUUUGCCUUUCGGUUGUGAGGAUUGUCCAUCCAGAAGAAAUUGAGGGGUGAUUUUAGAGCUGAAUCUCAAACCAGUUCCAGAAUGCCUAGAAACUCCGUCGGGGGAGGCGUUAAAUUCUCAUGACUUAUGAAACAAAUUAGAAUGCAUUUAAGCGAAAGAAAAGAGUAUGGUGGAUAUAAGACGUCUUACAUACCUAGUUGUUGUUGAUAGCCUUACAAAAAUCAUGCCAAGAUGAUGAACGAAGAAGGGCAAAGCAUGGAUCCUUACAUCCCUAGGAAAUGUUCUGCAGCAAAUAGAAUUAUCACUGCAAAGGACCAUGCUUCAGUUCACAUUGGUCAUAUUGAUGAGUGGCAUAUAUACUGGAUUUCUCCACUUUUGCCCUUAGCGGUUUGGUUUGUGCCCAGGUCUGACUAGGUUUCAUUAGAUGGUUUGAGGACUUUUCCGGCUCUGUACGAACUGCAGAAGCCUUACAUGGAGGCUCCAAGUACAUUCAGCAUCUCCUUCUUGCUAAUGUGCAUAUGACGGCCAUGACAGAAGAAGAAAGUUGCAGUAGGUGCUCCUCAAGAUCUGUGGGUGUGGGUAUGCUGGCAAAAGUCUGACUGUUCUUUAGGAGAGGUGUAAUGUCACGACUCAUGAGCACCGCAAUAUUUAGUGUUUUACAUUUAAUAGGUUAGUAAUGAAAUUGAACAUUUGUUCGUGAUUUUGUGUAAGUUUUCAUGUCAAGAAUCAUGAAAGUUAGUUGGAUCUUGUGGUGCCAAACCUAAUUGAUGCACUUUCUCAGGAGGGGAUUAUUUCUUUUAUUGCCUCUUUUUUUUUCUGCAUUAAUUUUUGUCAAACAGAAAAUGUACGAGUCAAUUAAAGGGAUCAUCCUUGUACAAUA